UUUCCUGCAGUGGAGUGGGCGCUUUCCCUCUUCUGUGUACCUCAGGGAAUGUGUCACAAGUGCUACCAGAACUGCACAGGAGUGAUGGGCUAGGUGCUCUGGCUAUGCUCUUGGGCUAAUGUGGGGAAACUAGCUCCAAUUAGAAUACAGUUCUGACACAGCAUUAAAUUUAAGCAAGUCUGGUGUUUUGGAAAGGAUGAGGAGAUAUAUUUGAAGUUUCAUGGCAUUAUUAGGACAGGGCUGUUUAACUUUCGCCCUCCUGCCAAUGUUGGCCUACAACUCCUAUAAUUCCUGGACAGUGUGGAUGGGGAUUAUGGGAGUUGUAGUCCAAAAACAGCUGGGGAGCCUAAGUCAAGCAGGCCUGAUAUAGGAUAUAGGCCUGAUAUAGGAUUAAAAAUUGGGAGUUACAGAAGGCAAAAUGAGUUUGUUAGGGAAUUCAAUAAUUUGCCUAGUGUUUCCAAAGAGAGUCUAAUUACAGGCUUUUAAUAGCAGGGGUGCCUGUUGAGCGGGGAGGAAGGCAAAAAAAGAGGCAUGGAAGUUCAGCGAGAUAAAGGGCUAGAGAUGUUAGUAUUACCUAUCCUUCCAAGCGCGUUUGUUGCAUGUAGGUCAGGGAGGGUGCCUCCUGGGAGUAGAGAGCUGUGGGGAAGAGGGGCGAGAGGCAGCAGCCACAACUCGCAUGAGAGUCCAUGGAUAGCAGCCUCCCCAAGUCUGAUGGAUUCUGAGGCCAUGUGGCUCUCUUAGGGCAGUUAUACUGUGAGACGUGCUCUGAGGUAGUCAUUGAUUCAAUCAAGUGGCUCCCUGUGGGGCAGGGAGAUUCUUGCAAGACAAAGGUUUUCAAUGCUGGGGUGGAUUUAGUCAUUGCCGGUCUGUCCUCUUGGACAAAGGUGGGUGCGGGCUCUUUAAAUGUUCACAACGCUAUGUAUGCUCACUGUCUCGAAGCUAAGACAUCUUAGGUGCAACAUGCAAGAUCUGUUUGUUUGGUCAGAGCAUCUCCUUGCUUAUCUUCGCCAGUCACUUCAUUUUACUAAUGAGGAGGGGAAUAACAGUGUAUGGGCUCAUCCUGCUGAGCAUUCCAAUGGUUAUCUCUAGAUGAGGAGUAUCUCUCCCAUGGCAAUUGGCUUUGAAUAGGUCUAUUCAAUCACUUACCACCCUAGGCGAGGGGCUGACGGCACCCUUUUGUGGUUUGUUGACUCUUUAACCUGGAAGCACGCUGCCAAACUCUGCCUAUGUUGAAUGACCAACUCGUGCCAACCUGCUAAGGCUGUGUGAAGUGAAAAGCUCACUAUGAGCCCCUAGUCUCAUUCUGUUGGAAUAUCUAAUAGACGGGUGCUCUUUGCCUGACUCCAAAACAUAGCUUCUGGCAACAAAUCCCGGUUCUGAGACAUGUUUGAGGUCCCUCAAAUGCUGUCUCAGCUAUGUCUGUGCGUCUGGCUGAGAGAGGUGGGGGCGUUUUAAGGUUUUUCAUCGAAAAGGUACAGUGGAAUCCAAGUGACACUUGCAAAGAGAGAGCAAUCAAGCAAUUACUGUUUUUUUAAUACACACACACAUAUCUGCAUAUCCAUGCCUGAUAGCUGUAUGUGUGUGGGUGCUGGAACAGUUAGAAUACGCAAGGGGAAAUUAGUAGGAAGGGGAGUUAGUGAGGGAAAGGCACUUUUACUUUACUUUAGGCACUUAAGGUAGAGGCAUGUAAAUAUGUUCACUACUAAUAUUACUAAAAAUAAAUACUAACAUUACUAACUUAAGGCAUAUAAUUUCUCACUUACCGCUAACAUUGCUACUAAUUUAAUACUAACAUAACACUUAGGUAGUAACUGAGAGGCUAUCUUCUCAUGCAAGCAUGAGGAAAAACCUAUCUAACACGCAGGCACAACGAAGUCAGGGCAAGAAUGGAAACUACCGCCCAUCAACUUGAAGGAUUAUAUAGGAAAAGAUGCCAGCUUCAUUGUGGAUUGGAUCAUUUCAUUUAUGACUGUGGCCUUUCUACUAGAAUACAUUACAUCAAGAUGAGAGAUUUGUUCGUGGAAUAUUGAUACUGGUAUAAUCUGAAGAAGGAGAAACUUCUUAAAGGGAUCUUAGGUUUCUGAAGUACACUUGCUUAAAGCAAGUCACCAUCACCAGACAAACUGCUCUUGAAAUUCAGGAGAAUCUGGAAGUGGCCUGUGGUAAGGAUUGAAGAGCUACUGAUGGAAAGAAAACAAAGCCAGGAGAGAAGGCCUUGAUCUAGAUUCUGUCAAGCAAGUGAGAAUAAUGAGCAAGAGCAAUGGUGUCUAGGAGCACGGCCUUUUCCUUUGUUGAACAAGGUUCUGGAAUGACUUCUUCAAGGAGGUGCACCAAUGUACCUCCUUUUUAAGUUAUUGGGGAAAGAUGCAUGUCUUUUCAGGACUGUUUUUAUCUGUGUUUUGAUUUGAGUGUGUUUUAAGCUGUCUAGUUUUUGCUUAGCUUUUUUUUUUAACUGUUUUGCUAAUUCUUUUAAUGUUUAUCCUCCAAAUGUUCUGGAAUGUGUAAACCACUUUACAAUGUACAAUGAUGUGAAUAUACAUAAAUGGAAUUUUAAAAAGAGAAACAAUGCAAUC